UUGAACGCUGGCGGCGUGCUUAACACAUGCAAGUCGAGCGGUAACAGGCGUAGCAAUACGUGCUGACGAGCGGCGAACGGGUGCGUAAUACAUGGGAAUCUGCCUUUUAGUGGGGAAUAACCCGGCGAAAGCCGGGCUAAUGCCGCAUAAGAUCUUCGGAUGAAAGCGGGGGAUCGUAAGACCUCGCGCUGAUAGAUGAGCCCAUGCCGGAUUAGCUAGUUGGUGAGGUAACGGCUCACCAAGGCGACGAUCCGUAGCUGGUCUGAGAGGACGGCCAGCCACACUGGGACUGAGACACGGCCCAGACUCCUACGGGAGGCAGCAGUGGGGAAUAUUGGACAAUGGGGGAAACCCUGAUCCAGCGACGCCGCGUGUGUGAAGAAGGCCUGCGGGUUGUAAAGCACUUUCGGUGGGAACGAAAUAUGCCGGGCUAAUACCCCGGUAGGCUGACGUUACUCAAUGAAGAAGCACCGGCUAACUCU
rnacentral:rRNA from 1 species